CCGAACCGACUAAUGUUGAAAAAUUAGCGGAUGACUUGUGGCUGGGGGUGAAAGGCCAAUCAAACCGGGAGAUAGCUGGUUCUCCCCGAAAGCUAUUUAGGUAGCGCCUCGUGAACUCAUCUUCGGGGGUAGAGCACUGUUUCGGCUAGGGGGUCAUCCCGACUUACCAACCCGAUGCAAACUACGAAUACCGAAGAAUGUUAUCACGGGAGACACACGGCGGGUGCUAACGUCCGUCGUGAAGAGGGAAACAACCCAGACCGCCAGCUAAGGUCCCAAAGUCAUGGUUAAGUGGGAAACGAUGUGGGAAGGCACAGACAGCCAGGAUGUUGGCUUAGAAGCAGCCAUCAUUUAAAGAAAGCGUAAUAGCUCACUGGUCGAGUCGGCCUGCGCGGAAGAUGUAACGGGGCUAAACCAUGCACCGAAGCUGCGGCAGCGACACUAUGUGUUGUUGGGUAGGGGAGCGUUCUGUAAGCCUGCGAAGGUGACCUGUGAGGGUUGCUGGAGGUAUCAGAAGUGCGAAUGCUGACAUAAGUAACGAUAAAGCGGGUGAAAAGCCCGCUCGCCGGAAGACCAAGGGUUCCUGUCCAACGUUAAUCGGGGCAGGGUGAGUCGACCCCUAAGGCGAGGCCGAAAGGCGUAGUCGAUGGGAAACAGGUUAAUAUUCCUGUACUUGGUGUUACUGCGAAGGGGGGACGGAGAAGGCUAUGUUAGCCGGGCGACGGUUGUCCCGGUUUAAGCAUGUAGGCUGGUUAUCCAGGCAAAUCCGGAUAAUCAAGGCUGAGGUGUGAUGACGAGGCACUACGGUGCU
rnacentral:rRNA from 1 species